CUCCUACGGGAGGCAGCAGUGGGGAAUAUUGCACAAUGGGCGAAAGCCUGAUGCAGCCAUGCCGCGUGUGUGAAGAAGGCCUUCGGGUUGUAAAGCACUUUCAGUCAGGAGGAAAGGGUGUGAGUUAAUACCUCACAUCUGUGACGUUACUGACAGAAGAAGCACCGGCUAACUCCGUGCCAGCAGCCGCGGUAAUA
rnacentral:rRNA from 1 species